GACGAACGCUGGCGGCGUGCUUAACACAUGCAAGUCGAACGGAAAGGCCCUGCUUUUGUGGGGUGCUCGAGUGGCGAACGGGUGAGUAACACGUGAGUAACCUGCCCUUGACUUUGGGAUAACUUCAGGAAACUGGGGCUAAUACCGGAUAGGAGCUCCUGCUGCAUGGUGGGGGUUGGAAAGUUUCGGCGGUUGGGGAUGGAUUCGCGGCUUAUCAGCUUGUUGGUGGGGUAGUGGCUUACCAAGGCUUUGACGGGUAGCCGGCCUGAGAGGGUGACCGGCCACAUUGGGACUGAGAGACGGCCCAGACUCCAACGGGAGGCAACAGUGGGAAAUAUUGCACAAUGGGCGGAAGCCUGAUGCAACAACGCCGCGUGCGGAAUGACGGCCUUCGGGUUAAAAACCGCUUUCGCCUGAGACGAAGCGUGAGUGACGGUAAUGAAUAAAGAAGCACCGGCUAACUACGUG
rnacentral:rRNA from 1 species